GGGUUCCAAACUACAGGUGGAAACUGUUCUAUUUUCUAUUCAAGUUUUUUUUUGAUGAAACAAAACUUAAUCCUGACAACAGUUAUAUAUGCUUAACAGUGUUGUAUUUUGAUUAUUUUAAAAUCUGUUGAAAAUAUUCAUAUUAAAUUCAUGAAAAGAAGUUUAAAAAAAAAAAAAGAAAUGAGAUUUGGGCAUAAUUUUUAAGAAGGUAAAGAUACUUCAAUGAAAAAGUAAGAUAGGUAACAAAAAUCAAUCAAACGAAAAACUCAUUUAAAUUUCAAGUUGUUCCUGACAUGUCUAAGUUGUUCCUGACAUGUCAGAACAAAAUUAAUAAUUUUUUUUUUUGAAAUCUGGUAACCUUGAGCUAUGUUCUCUACUGAUUGAGCUAUGAUUCCGACAAUUAUUACUCACUUUUACAAUAAUUAUUGUUAGUCAGUCAUAUCUGGACAUGCAACAUUCAACUUACCCAUAUAUAUGCCUUUAAAAAGGACUGUUUCGACUAUAAAUACUUGAAAUUAUAAAGAAAUUGCCCUAUUAUUCUUUACAGUCUAUUGUGUAUAGGCUAAAUUUAGGAGACACUUGUGAAAAUACGCAAUGAAAAAUGAAUAAUUACAUUGAAAAUACAGGAAAUGAAAAUGAGCAUUUUACUUUAUCAAUAUUUCUUAAUGUUUCAAUGAAGUAUGUAAUAAAUUAAAAGAACUAUUGUAUUGAUUAGGAAAAGUUUUUAUUUCAGGUUUGUGAAUAAAGGCUUGUUUGUUAGAUUUCAAUUGUGGCUCAGUUGGUUGUUUGCUGAGAAGCUGUGAAAACAUAAUUAUACAGGCCAUUAAGGAGGUUUUUGUCAGAUUGAUGAAUGUGAAAUUAAGAGGACCCAUUUUGAGGAUGCUUUUUAUGAAUGGAAUCACGAGAGAUGAAGUCUAAAAUGUGAUACUGUCAAUGUGACUAACCUUCACUUGAAGUAAACAGAUGACACAAUGUUUUUUCAAUGUCAUGGGCAUAUAAUGAAGAGAAAACAGAGAUGCUUGUUUGACAGAUACAGUAAUAGUAGGAGUUAUGAGGGAAGAUAGAAUGCAGUGAUAACUAUAUUGAGGCACCACUUCAUCACCAAGAACAUGAAAUGAAUUAUCAAUGUUUUCAAUGUGUUUGAACACCCAUUUUAAAUAAUACAGCUCAGAGUGAAUUUUUCAAAAUAAUUAAUUCUGUUUUCAAAGU